ACUGAGGCGAAGUAUUGAGGUAGAAAGCUGGUGAAGCCAUUUCCUGCUGUCAUUAUAUUCUGUUUGCACAGAUAAUAAACCUGGUUGACAAGAAGGAAGUCGUUUUCAUUCGACACAACGCAGAGAUACAUGUGGCGUCAAUCCAGACCGGUUACACAAAGAAUGAUAAAUAGAGAAAACAGAUAUAAUUUGCUUAUUAUCUGAUUACCAGCUCUGCACAGCAGACUUGUAACAGUAGCAGCAGUGGAGAUGGAGCAUCAGAACCUGGAGGCUUCUACUCUCCUGAAGAAGAAGAAUACAGCAACAAGGAUCCAUUUGAAGAUAGAUUUCACAGCUGCCUGGGCCUAGCAGCAAGAACCUCCAUCUGUCCCUGCCCCCAGGUCAAGAUCUACCGUGGCUCAAGAGCCUUCACCGCAAAGGACCAGAGGACCAUCAUCACUACAGUGGCCUCCAUCUCCAUCUGCCACAAGAUUAAGAUACACCUCGGGACAAAGACCUCCACCACAGCCAUCACGAUCAACCCAGCCAGCAAAGAAGUCUCGCCUAGCAGACGUACCUCCCACACGGCCACCAGCAUCAACCUGGGACAAUCACACCUACCUCCCUCCGACACAGCCACCAGCAGCCCAUGCACACAUCAGCCAGACCCCCUGUCCUGGAAGACAGACAAAGACCAUGACACU